GAACCUUACCUGGGCUCAAAAUGUACAGGAACCCGGUGGAAACAUCGGCGUCCCGCAAGGGACCUGUAUAUAGGUGCUGCAUGGCUGUCGUCAGCUCGUGUCGUGAGAUGUUGGGUUAAGUCCCGCAACGAGCGCAACCCUUACUUCCAGUUGCCAUCAUUUAGUUGGGCACUCUGGCAGAACCGCCUCGGAUAACGGGGAGGAAGGUGGGGAUGACGUCAAGUCCUCAUGGCCUUUAUGUCCAGGGCUACACACGUGCUACAAUGGCCGGUACAAACCGUCGCAAACCCGUGAGGGGGAGCUAAUCGGAGAAAGCCGGCCUCAGUUCGGAUUGGAGUCUGCAACUCGACUCCAUGAAGCUGGAAUCGCUAGUAAUCGCGGAUCAGAACGCCGCGGUGAAUACGUUCCCGGGCCUUGUCACACCGA
rnacentral:rRNA from 1 species